rnacentral:tRNA from 1 species
GCCACUCUAGCUCAUUGGAAGAGCGCUCGCCUGUUAAGCGAUGUGUUCAUGGUUCGAUUCCAUGGUGUGGCG